rnacentral:ncRNA from 2 species
CUUACAAUGCCAGCCGUUGGUGCUCGCGCCGGGGUUCACCCGGUGCAGUCAAACGGGAAGCAAGAGGGUCACGCGUCAUCGCCGAUGCCAGCCUGACUUGCGCUGCCCCCGCAACGGUCGGCGGUCGAGUGUGUGCAACGCCAGUUUGCACUUGCUCAGCCUGUGUCCUCCAGCCACUGGGCCUUCGGGCCUGGGAAGGCCACACAGGUUGCACCGCCUAGCCCGGAUACCGGCCAGCAGGGGGUGCGUGCG